rnacentral:lncRNA from 1 species
UUGCCUGCAUACCAUAAAUAUGAAAACCAUAAAUAUAAUUUGAUCCUACUACAAGAUAAAUGGGUAUAAGAAAGUUCUAGACUUCGAAAGCUUAGAGGAUUAUUACUAACACUUAAUCAGUUCCAUAAGCUUUGUUGUCUAUUUGAGCUUCACAGGCUUCAAAGGAUCAAGAAGAAUCAAUAGGAAGAAGGACAUCCUAUCCCCUGUCGGAGUACUGUGUCUACAUCAGGCAAGUGUUAUUUCUGAUAGCAAGUACCUAUGACGCUCCAAGAGGAUCAGUACGCCUUCACUGCGUGUCAGCAACCUUAGCAGACUAUGUCAACAUCUAGCUUAGGGAAGAGCAACCCCUGUUUAUCGAGCUAAGUAUCUCUUACUUACUCAUCUAUCUAUUCCUAGUGCGUUAUGAUAAGAUAAAAAGAUGAAUAACAUUAGAAACCUAAUAAAUAUUUUAUGUUUCAUAAUUAAUUUUGCUAGCUAUGGAGAGAUCUCAAGGAAUCUGUUAAAAUAAACCUCUAGAAUAAAUUCUUAUAUGGAGAUGAUGACUAGUUGCUCUACCGUAAUUCCUUGCAAGUAUCUAGUUUUCAACCUUGUAUUCUCUAGAGUUUUGGACACAACUGUUUAGACUUAAGAUUUUGCUCUAAAACUUGUGGGUAGUAAUUGCUUAAUCUAAGUCUAGGUAGUUGGCGGAUAUGAUAUGAGAAGGUCUUGAGCUACUAUCAAACUUGGUCCUAGAGAUGCUAGAGUUCUGGAGAAUUUAUUUUGAAAAUUUUAAAUGCUACAUGAUGAGUUCCUUUAUGACGAGAGUUUAAAAUGCCUACCACAGCCAAAUACUCAUGCUUGCUAGAUUAGGAAAACCACCACUUUUACUUCAACCUAUAAACAUUGAGGAUAGUUAAGUUGUGUAGACCCUAAGGAACUAGUCAUGCAGUUAAAGUUAAUAUUAUGUGCUCUCCAUCCAUUCAUGUUAGCUACUUCUGUCCUUAGAAGUACGCAACCACUUACGUCCACCACAUUCACUAUAUGCUACUUCUGUCCCUAGAAGUACCACCCACAUAUACGCACUUCACUCUGUGUUGUUUCUAUCCUGGAGACACGCACAUCCACUUAUAAAAAUGUUCUACUCCUACAGUGGGAGGGAAUACCCAAAAAUAUCUAUUGCCAUUAUGUCUUAUUCUACUUAUCUAAUAAAGCUCCAGUUAUACUCCCUGCUGUUAUCAGUAUAUUAAAAGGGUUGGCUGAUCUCUAAAAAAAUAAGAAAAGAAAGAAAGAGGACAAAAGUCCCAAUGAAAAAGAAAAGAAAGACAGCCAAGUCCUUAUUCUUAGUUUAGGGAGGUAUGUUUUUCCCCAAGAAGCAAAUGUAGAAUUAGAUAUUCACCAUCAGUAAUCACCCCUCACAACCACUUCCAUCCUUAUCAUCCACUUCAUUCACUCACAUGCACACAUGACUUGAUUGUAUAAUUAGUUUCUAUAGAUCCACGGUUUAACUAUACAAUAUAUGUAUGUAGGUUUUAAUAGUCUUUCCCACCUAUGAGCUCCACAUAAGCCAAUUAGAAGUAGGGUGAGAGAGAGAAGGCAACUAUGACUUAGUCCUAUAAAUACUACAUAUUCUGAGAGCUGAGAGAAGGCAUACUCACUUGCCUUGGAGAGGAUCCAAAAAUACUACAUACGAGAGUCUGGAAUGUGUCAUAUAAGGAAAAUUUGAGUUUUAUUUGAAAAGUUUGCAAAACUCUAGAAUAAUAGUUGAUCAAAGGGUGAGUAGGAUAGUGCUCGACAUAACUAUUCUUUCUUUCAACUGCCCAAGACCUAAGUGAUAGCUAGAAGCUCCAUGGUGAAAGGUAAUAUGGGUAAGUUUUGAGUAAGAAUAGUUCACUCUAAUCCGGUGUGGUGUGAAAGCAUUGCAGCAACUCCUGAUCCAUCACUUAGUCUAUCUUUGCUCAGGGACAAGCAAAAGAUAAGCUUGGGGGAGUUUGUUGAUGGCAGAUAAGUACUCUUUAUAACCAUCAACAUAGCAUGAGAAAGGCUUAAAAUCAAAAUAUUAUUUAGCUAUAGGGGUUAUCACAAAUUGAAUUCCACAAGUUUUGGUAUUUAUCUAUUUGUGUAGGGGGUUAUCGGAAUAAGAACCGAAGGAGGCCCAC